rnacentral:pre_miRNA from 1 species
CGGAUUGUAGACCCUGUAGCUGCUAAGGGGCGCAGUUCAUAAUCCACCCCUUAUCUGCUACACUGUCUGUAAUCUGGA